UUUAUUAGGGUGAGAAGCAAUAUUUAAAGAAGGCAAAAUGGAAUUAAGAGUCAAAAAAGAUCAAUUAAUUGAAGUUUUGAGUUUAUAUUUAAUUCAACAGAAAAGCAAACAGGAGGACCUCCCUGAAAUAGAAGAAAUCCUUAAUCAGGUAUACCUGGGAGUAUGGGUGUCUGAAGUUCCAGGUAAGGCGAAAAAUGCUUUGCCUGUUAAAGUAGAAAUAAAAGGGGGGCCUGCACAAUUAGAACAAAACAAUAUCCCUUAAAAUUGAAGGAUCAAAAGGGAAACAAAGAAAUAAUUAAAAAGAAAAAGGAUUAUUAAUUGAAUGUGAAUUAGAAUAUAAUACUCCUAUCUUGCCAUUAAAUAAAUCCUAUGGGAAAAGUUACAGAUUAGUUCAAGAUCUCAGAGCAAUCAACAAAACUGUGGAGGAUAUUCAUCCAGUAGUAGCUAAUCUAUAUACCUUAUUGAUUAAAUUGAAUACUAAUCAGGAGUGGUUUACCGUUCUGGACUUAAAGGAUGCAUUUUUCUGUCUGCCCCUGGCCAAAGAAAGUCAACAUUUAUUUUCUUUCGAAUGGGAAAACCCUGAAACAGGAAGAAGGACACAGCUCACCUGGACAGUGUUACCUCAGGUAUUUAAAAACAGUCCAACCAUUUUUGGAAAUCAAUUGGCACAAGAAUUCAAAUCCUGGGAACCACCCACCCAGACAGGCACUUUACUGCAAUAUGUUGACGACCUGUUAAUUGCUACGGAAACUGAGAGAGAAUGUGUACAAUGGACUGUAGAAUUGUUAAACUUUCUAGGGCUAAAUGGAUACCAGGUAUCUAAAUUGAAGGCUCAACUAAUUCGAACUAGAGUAUCUUAUUUAGGAUAAGAAAUAACAGGAGAACGAGAACUUGGAGCAGCUCGGAAGGAAGCAAUCUGCCAAACACCACGACCAUCUACGGUUAAAGAUCUCCGGACAUUUCUGGGAGUGACAGGAUGGUGUCGACUCUGGAUCCAUGAUUAUGGUGUUCUGCAUCUUUCCUUCAGGAAACCCCUACUGAACCGCUGACUCACGACUGCUUGGCCACUAUAGAGACAGUAUAUUCAAGCUGACCAUAUCUGAAGGAGGAGCCUCUGGAGGAUGCAGAUUCCUGGUUCACCGAUGGCAGCAGCUUUGUUAAAGAUGGUAAACGAAGAACAGGGUAUGCCAUAACUACAACUUCAAAGGUAAUAGAAGCUAAACCUUUACCCUCUAACACCUCAGCACAAAAGGCAGAAAUAAUAGCCCUGACUAGAGCCUUGGAGAUGGCAAAGGACAAGCGGAUAAACAUAUGGACUGAUUCCAAAUAUGCCUUUGGUGUAGUUCAUGCACAUGGAGCAAUUUGGAAAGAACGAGACUUUUAAAUACCCAGGAAGACAAAUUAAACAUGCAACAGAAUUUCUACGAUUGUUAGAAGCUGUACAAUUACCCAAUGAAGUGGCUAUCAUACAUUGUAAAGGACAUCAAAGAGGUAACUCUGAUCAAGAGACUGGAAAUAAUUUGGCUGAUCGUGAGGCUAAAAAGGCAGCAGAAACAGAAAGAUUUGAGGUGAUGUCCUUAAUUCCUGAGGGUAAACUGGUAAUUGAGCAAAAUAAGCCUAGGUACUCUAAAGAAGAUAUGAAACUAAUUGAAGACUUGGAAGGACGGGAAAAUGAAAAGGGUUGGAUAAAAAUACCUGAUGGGCGAAUAGUGAUCCCCUAUAAUCAAUUAUGGAAGUUGAUACAAGAAGAACAUAACAAAACUCACUGGGGAACUAAUGCCUUGUAUAAACAUUUAAACAAACAGAUCAUAGGAAGAAAUUUAUAUAACAUAGUGCAAUUAGUGACAAAAUAAUGUUAACUAUGUCUGAAAAAUAACCCUAAGACUGAAAACAGGAAUCAGAUAGGAACAAUUGGAAAAGGGAAUUAUCCAGGACAACAGUGGCAAAUAGAUUUUUCUGAAUUACCUAGAAAAGGAGGUUAUUGAUAUUUGUUGGUAUUGACAGAUACUUUUUCAGGGUGGCCAGAAGCAUUUCCUUGCCAGACAAAUAAUGCAAAAGAAGUGAUUAAGGUGCUAUUAAGUGAAAUAAUACCUUGUUUUGGGGUACUAGCAACUAUCUCCUCUGACUGCGGUACACAUUUCAGUGCAAAAUUAUUACAAGAAAUCAGCAAGAAAUUGGAAAUAGAUUGGCAAGUACAUGAUCCAUAUAGGCCUCAGGCCAGUGGGCAAGUGGAAAAAAUGAAUCACUUAAUUAAACAACAGCUUGGGAAGGUUUGUCAAGAGACUAAGUUGUAUUGGUAUCAAGCAUUACCAUUGGCCUUAUUGAGAAUCAGAACAAAACCUCGGUCAAAGGAGGGAAUUAGCUCAUUUGAGAUUCUAUAUGGAAGGCCAUAUCAAUUUCAGUUUAAAGGAGAGAGCCUUCAAGAAGUAGGAGAAGGAUACCUUCAACAGUUCUUGGUAAACUUGGGAAAACAGUUAGAAGAAAUAAAUGGCAGAGUGUUAGGGACCAGGGCCAGAGGUUUAGAUUAUCCCAUUCAUCCUUUUAAGCCAGGAGACUGGUUUUUUAUUCAGAAUUUUGCAGGUGAUCCCCUAGAAGAGCAGUGGAAUGGACCAUACCAGGUAUUACUGACUACCUUUACAGCAGUGAAGGUAAAGGAACAGCCUGCUUGGAUACAUUACUCAAGAAUCAAGAAGGUGCCAGAACCAGAAACACAUCAGAACUGAGAAAAAGUAUGGCGCGUCGACUCUUCAGGACCCACACAUAUGAGAUUGCAUCGAUCAUAAUUUGGACUUGUAUAAUAACAGGUGUAGAAGCAUGGAAUCAAAAUCUGUAUCUGAGAUUGAUACAAAAUGUUACUAAUGUCUUAAACAAGAGUGACUGUUGGAUCUGUACUCAGCUACCUAAAUCAGGAGAGAGACUGGGUAUUCCUUUAAUUGGCCUCCCUAUCCCCGUUAAGACAAAUUG